GUACACUCUGCGGGAGGCAGCAGUGGGGAAUUUUGGACAAUGGGCGAAAGCCUGAUCCAGCAAUGCCGCGUGAGUGAAGAAGGCCUUCGGGUUGUAAAGCUCUUUUGUCAGGGAAGAAACGGUGAAAGCUAAUAUCUUUUGCUAAUGACGGUACCUGAAGAAUAAGCACCGGCUAACUACGUGCCAGCAGCCGCGGUAAUACGUAGGGUGCAAGCGUUAAUCGGAAUUACUGGGCGUAAAGCGUGCGCAGGCGGUUUUGUAAGUCUGAUGUGAAAUCCCCGGGCUCAACCUGGGAAUUGCAUUGGAGACUGCAAGGCUAGAAUCUGGCAGAGGGGGGUAGAAUUCCACGUGUAGCAGUGAAAUGCGUAGAUAUGUGGAGGAACACCGAUGGCGAAGGCAGCCCCCUGGGUCAAGAUUGACGCUCAUGCACGAAAGCGUGGGGAGCAAACAGGAUUAGAAACCCUGGUAGUCCCAU
rnacentral:rRNA from 1 species